UGGGGAAUAUUGCACAAUGGGCGAAAGCCUGAUGCAGCAACGCCGCGUGAGUGAUGAAGGCCUUCGGGUUGUAAAGCUCUGUCUUCUGGGACGAUAAUGACGGUACCAGAGGAGGAAGCCACGGCUAACUACGUGCCAGCAGCCGCGGUAAUACGUAGGUGGCAAGCGUUGUCCGGAUUUCCUGGGCGUAAAGGAUGCGUAGGCGGAUACUUAAGUCAGAUGUGAAAAUCCCGGGCUUAACUUGGGAACUGCAUUUGAAACUGGGUAUCUAGAGUGCGGGAGAGGAAAGUGGAAUUCCUAGUGUAGCAGUGAAAUGCGUAGAGAUUAGGAAGAACACCAGUGGCGAAGGCGACUUUCUGGACCGUAACUGACGCUGAGGCAUGAAAGCGUGGGGAGCAAACA
rnacentral:rRNA from 1 species